rnacentral:rRNA from 1 species
GGAAGCGAGCGAACUCUCGUUAAGGAACUCGGCAAAAUGACCCCGUAACUUCGGGAGAAGGGGUGCUUAUAGCAAUAUAAGCCGCAGUGAAUAGGCCCAAGCGACUGUUUACCAAAAACACAGGUCUCUGCCAAACCGAAAGGUGAAGUAUAGGGGCUGACGCCUGCCCGGUGCUGGAAGGUUAAGAGGAGUGCUUAGCGCAAGCGAAGGUACGAAUUGAAGCCCCAGUAAACGGCGGCCGUAACAAUAACGGUCCUAAGGUAGCGAAAUUCCUUGUCAGGUAAGUUCUGACCCGCACGAAAGGCGUAACGAUUUGGGCACUGUCUCAACGAGAGGCUCGGUGAAAUCAUAGUACCUGUGAAGAUGCAGGUUACCCGCGACAGGACGGAAAGACCCCGUGGAGCUUUACUGUAAUUUGAUAUUGAAUCUUGACUCCACCUGUACAGGAUAGGUGGGAGCCAAUGAAGCAUGGACGUCAGUCUAUGUGGAGGCAAUGGUGGGAUACCACCCUGGUAUGGUUGAGAUUCUAACCCGCAGCCGUGGUCCGGCUGGGAGACAGU